UCCCGUCCCGUGCUCCCAUCCAUACUCCCGAAACGUUAAAUUUGCAUCGAACGGCUGGCCACAAUUUUCCUUCCUCACGUCCCUUUUCUGGCCCCAAAAAGGGGGAAACGACCACGUAUUCCGUAUUUUACUCUCCCGCAGGUAAUACUCACGAUUGAUUCUGGACGGAAAAGGCCCGCAAAAACAAAUCUGGAGGGAAUAUGUCCGCCAAUCUCACUUCUGCGCGCCAAAAAGGACGCCCAUCCCAUAAAACAGAGGUAUCUUAAAUCACAGGCAGAAGAAAAAUUGCAAUCGCAGCUGAUCGCCAUGAAUUAAUUUCUGGGAGAACGUUAAUUGUGCAAACAUCAAGCGGACUGGGGCUCUAUUAUCCCCUAUGUCUUCUUCUUCGAGCACUGACUAUGGGAACCAUCAACAAGACAAUGGAUCUGAAGGAUCAAAAGUAAGAAAUCUGACUCAUAUUCCUCUUGAUCUCUUUUCGUUGUUCCCGCCCUUCUUGUUGAAUUGGUUGUUUUUCCCUGCUGACAAACAAAUCAACCGAUCAUGAUUGUAUAAGAUCUAUUCAAAUCCAAUUGAAACUACUGUACAAUCAUCUAGACCACUGGGAAUAGCUGUUUUGCACAACUUAGUUUGUUAGGUGAUUCAUGUAAUUUUGGCUAUACAUAUACAAGAAUCUGGUAGUUAUUCACGGCGUACUACAUGUAAAAAAAAACAGAUGUCUAAUUGUUCUUUAUCCAUAAUCUAUAUUAGUCUAAAAAUAUACAUUAUGUCCAUUUCCAAUAGAUUUACAUUCAGACUGUUGUAGAAUAAUUUAGUUUGCAUUUAGUAUUCCAGUAGUGCAGCCUUCUAGACAGGACAUGUCAUAUGAUUAUGAGGAUUAAAGAGUUACAGUACAAUUUUGGAACAUCAAUCUGGUUGAGAACCUUGUUUCAUAUAUCUAACUUUCAAGCAUAUGCAUAUGAACUAAUGUGAAUACUGAUUCAUAUAGGAUGUGCAUGAAACUGCUCCUAGCAAUGCAACAGAUUACAUUAAUGAAAGGGUACCAAAGCUUGGCAUGCAAUUUUUAUCUGAAGAGGAAGCUUACUCCUUUUAUAACAAUUAUGCAAAAGCCAUUGAUUUUAGCAUCCGAAGAUAAGAGAGAGUAUCUUUUUAGUUUUGGUUAUAUUACUUUUGGAUCACUAAGAUACUUAUUUUAAUUGACAGGAUUCCGCGCAGAAGAUAAGAGAGAGGAUUCUUUCAGUUACAGUAGGCCCGAAAUACGAUGUGGAUGUAAAGCCCAUAUGAAAAUAAGUCUCAAAAACAGAUUAUAUUAUGUGUAAGAAUUUGAGGCUGCACGUAAUCAUAAUCGUGCUACUGGAGAUAUGGGCUUAUACUUAAGAUCCCAGUGCUACUGGAGACAUGACCUUAUACUUAAGACAUGGCCUUAACCUCCCUGGAAGUGCAUAGGUUGGAGAUAUUACAAGAGGUAUACAACUUGGAGAACAAGAGAUAGAAGUAGUUAGAGGAGAUAAGAUUACAUCUGAACCGAACCAACCAUCUAUCCUAGAUCCUACGCCCAAGUCUUGGACUCUCCAUACGUGACACAAUAUAUAUUGUGUUUAACACCAACAACAGACUCCUAUGAUGAUGCCAGGACAGAAUCUAUCGUUCUUCCAAGAACAUAUAAUCUUACCAUUGGCACCUCUACCCCUACGAGGAUGCCAGGACAAGAUCUACCAAUCUUCGAACAGAAGCCUACUUAAUCGAUGUUAUAGAGUUUUAUCUCAUGUAUUUGCUUGCAAUUCUAUUAGAAACUAUGAGUAAACGACCAUGGAUUGAAGGAUACUAUCGACAUCAUGUAUUUGCUUGUUUUUCAUCAGGUACACACUGUAAUACGAACAAAACAGGUUUUUCUGCCUAACCUGACAAGCAACCCAGUAGUUGAUCGCUGCAGUAAUGAAGCGCCACUGUCACCUAGAUGAAUAUCAACCCAAUCAUAUGACUUUGCAUGCAAACCAAGUAAGGAGUAAUUUGUUCACUUCAUUGAACCUCUUCUGGCCUCGUCCUGUAUCCAAACAUCACCGCCAGCAGCUAAUCAAAUUUCAAUUCAAUCAAUCAGUACACAUCAUCAUUAGCAUUUCCUGCACCUUUCCAAGUCUGAAUCCACUGCAUUUCAACUAUGCUUUCUUUUUGUUGAUCCUAAAAUUAAAUAUCUUUUUAGAAAAAAUCAAACUGAGCACCUUCAGUUCGUACAGAACAGAACAAUGAUACAAAAAUAUUGUCAACUUAAACACAGCUAGCUAGGUAUAAAGGACAUGUAGAAACUAAUUUCGAUCUACAAUUUUACGCAACAAAAUUUGAGCUUUUAAGAAAUCUCUGUAUAGACCAAAUUAAUUUGCAAUAUCCCCUUGUGCUUGUGUGCUCAAAUAACAGUAGCUACAUACAGUACAAUAAGCUCAGAUGAGACACUAAAGGGCCAACAAAUCAGGCGAGACAUCUGAAUUCUACAGAAAAAUAGUACAGAGGAGCAAGGGAGGGAGCGGGGCAAGGCAACCUCGGCAGGCACGGGAACGGUGCAGGGGUUCCGGAGACGACGCCACACGCCUGGAAGAGCCGCUGGAUGGGGGACACCCUUCUCGCUCGCCGCGGCUGACGCCCAGCCGCCGCCGCCGCCAUCUCCACUGUCAACACCUCAAUUAUCCCCGCCCGAGCUCCACCAUCACCGUCCCCAUCACAGGCAACUCCAAGCCUCGAUCUUUGACGCGAAAACGAACAAGGAGGCGGAGGCUGUCUUGCAGUAGGAGAGGGCCGACAUCCCGGACGGGAGCGGCGCCACCGCUCUGAUGAGACAAGCAGCGGGCAAAAUCUUGAAGCCAACUCGCUUGCCGUGCCCCUCCUUCACGCCGACGGACGGCUGCAGCCUGCAGCGACGGGAACAGAACGAGAUCGAGGGGAGCGCUAGCUGGUUCACUGGAUCUCUCCGCUGCCCACGGCCGGCUGUCGGAAGGUAAAGCGAAAGGGGAAGGAGGGGAAUACGUAUUGGGGACAGGGAAAUACGAGAGCUCGG
rnacentral:lncRNA from 1 species